AUGGUAGUUGGUGACUUUAACGAAAUUUUGUACUCUCAUGAAAAGGAGGGGGGCGCCCCCCGGCCGAUGCAAAUGAUGCAAAAUUUCCGAGAUGCGCUAGUGGACUGUGAACUGGAAGAUAUGGGUUGUACGGGAGAAUUGUUUACGUGGCGAAGAAGAAGAUUAAGGGAGCGGCUAGAUCGAGCUGUAUGUAAUGGACAAUUCCUUGGCCUAUGCCCGCACGUGAAGGUAAGAAAUGCGCCGCAUAGUAAAUCAGAUCACAGACCUAUC
rnacentral:rRNA from 1 species